GUUCGUCGUCGACGACUCUGAAGCGAAUCUGUGGACAUGCACACUAAAAUCCGAUUUUGCUUCUUGCCCGAUUAUGUUCACCCUCCGUUCUAAAGUCUCCGCCAAUUGGCACCAUUCGCAACGUCGAUGUAGCUCGCAAUUUCAGAUUUUUGUAGACGACAGCCUACGUAUCGUACCUGAAUCUCUCGUAAUAGAGAUAAAAAAAUCUAACGACGUAUCUCGCGGUGGAAACUGACGAGGAUAAAUAAUAACGAACGGCGACAAUGCCACUCCCAAAUAUUUUGAGAAAAGCAAGCAGCUAUAUCCUAGGCGAUUGCGGCCAGGAUAACCGACGCGUCAUUUAUCAGGACGGUGAGGCAUUAUUCUGCAAAAACAACGUCUGCGUGCAUCCUCCUACGUUAAUGAGACAACACGCCGACGUGGUGCAUCAUCCUGGAUACAUGACUGUAACUUGCAAGUUGAACAAAAAUUCCAAUUUGCCGACCCUGCACCUAAGUUGGAUACCCAACAGUACGUUACGCAAGCAUCCUACCACCUUGGAAAAUCUGAAUGCCAGGAGCGACAGGAGCGGUAGUGCAACGGCAAGCGUGAUACAACGACAGGGCAGCGGCGGCUCCCCUCGUUCGCGAAUUUCCGCCGCGGAAAAGGCACGCGAGGAGGGAGGUGUUUUCGAUUCGCUCAACGUGAGACCACCUGAGCUCGAGAACGAGAAUGAAAAUGAAAAUGAAAAUGAAAAUGAUAUCGAGAAUGAUAACGGAAAUGAGAAAUUAGAUGUGUGCUUGGAGGCAAAGGAGCCCGUCAACUGCGGGGACUGCGAACGCGUCUGUUCCGGUUCUGGCAAUCGUUACGGCUAUGACUUUCCGUGUCAUUCGAGUGCAGAUCCCGCCGCCGCCACCACCACCACCACCACCACCACCACCACCACCACCACCACCACCACCAUCACCACCACCACCACCACCACCACCACCACCACCACCACCACCACCACUGCCGCUGCCGCGAUCGACCACGAGAACCACGAGGAAAAUGCGAGCAAAACUACCGAGAAGGUGGAUUCGAUAGAGUCGAGCAACGAAAAAAUCGGCGAUUCGAUAGUGCGAGGAGACUUUAACGACUCAAUCGAGCCACGCUUCUCGUUCCGCGACGACGACGUGAGCGUCAAGAGUCGCAGCUUGUCGUUAACGUCGACGUGCAGUCUAUCCAUCUCGGUACCUACCGACGCGGAGGAAAUACCAUCGUGGAUGAGGUCUCCCGAACUUCUAGCGCUGCAACACAAUCUCGUCUUUCCCGAGAGCGCGACCGCGUCGCCCGUGACGCUGCGUAGAGCACAUCGAUGCAGAAGAUUCUCGGUCGACCUCGGCGAGAUGCGAUCGUUGAGGCUAUUUUUCGCCGAUCCCGCUUGCACCUGCGGUCAGUUGGUCGUGGCGAGCAGAGAGAGCCAAUACAAGAUUUUACAUUUUCAUCACGGCGGCUUGGACCGGCUAGCCGCCACUCUACAUCAAUGGCAUCAAUUGCUUUAUCCGCGCUUAAACACGGAUACGGAAGAGACUCUACCCUAUAGGCAUUUUAUGGUAUGCCGCCCGGAAGUAAGCCGAGACGAGCUGCAUCCCGAGGAGGGCCAAGUGCCGAUGAUCACGUCGUUGGCUUGGAAAGAUUUAUUGAAUGAACGAGGCCAAGUGGAGGAUGAUCUUGCUCUUCGUAAGGGAAUAUUUUUCGGAGGUUUAGAACCAGCGCUACGAAAAAUCGUUUGGCCCUUUCUAUUGCACUGUUACUCUUAUCAAAGCACGUACGAGGAUAGAGAACAAAUCGAUGCCAUUAGGCGGCAAGAGUACGAAGAGAUACAGAAACGUAGACUGAGCAUGAAUCCGGAGCAAGCCGAGCGUUUCUGGCGAAACGUGGUGUGCAUAGUAGAAAAGGAUGUUGUCCGCACGGAUAGGGCUAAUCCGUAUUACGCCGGUGAGGGUAAUCCCAACGUCGAAGUGAUGAAAAAUAUUUUACUCAACUACGCGGUAUACAAUUGUCGCUUGGGUUACACUCAAGGAAUGUCCGAUCUCUUAGCUCCGUUACUAGCCGAACUCAACUCUGAAAUUGAGGCCUUCUGGUGUUUCGCGGGUUUGAUGCAAAGAUCGGUAGCCGUGUGCACUCCGACCGAUACAGAUAUGGACAGAAAUCUGUGCUAUCUUCGAGAGCUAGUCAGAAUUAUGGUACCAGACUUUUAUGCGCAUCUUCAAAAGCAUGCGGAUGCCUCGGAGCUUCUGUUUUGUCAUCGAUGGAUACUCUUAUGUUUGAAAAGAGAAUUUCCAACCGAAAUAGCGUUGGUCAUGUGGGAAGCCUGCUGGGUCAAUUAUUUAACAGAUCACUUUCACUUGUUUCUUUGUCUCGCUAUUAUGUGCGUUUACGCGGACGACGUUAUCGCUCAAGAUCUCCGAACGGAUGAAAUGUUGUUGCAUUUCAGUUCAUUGGCCAUGUAUAUGGACGGGAACGUUAUACUCCGAAAGGCGCGAGGCCUGCUUCAUCAUUUCCGUCAGCUUGUGCGCUUACCUUGCACAUUAGCUGGAUUGUGCCGACAAUGUGGUCCAGGAAUGUGGGACAGCGCGCACGAUCCUGUAAUAGAAUGCGUGGAUCACGAAGAUACGCAAUGUCCCUAUUUAAAUAAUUACGAGUAACUCUAAUUUAUUGAAAGAAAGGAAAGAGCUCAUCAGUAUUACUAGAACGUAUGAUAAUUAACUCGUUUCGUCGAUUUAGAUUAGAUUGAACGACUUCUUGUUCUCUCUCUCUCUCUCUCUCUCUCUCUCUCUCUCUCUCUCUCUCUCUCUCUCUCUCUCUCUCUCUUUCUUUCUCUCAGUCUGUCGAUAUGACACGGACUGCUUGAUACGAAUUACGGACAGACUGACGGACACCUAACCGGUACGAAGCUCUGCGUCUACGUGGAAGAGAGAGAGAGAGAGAGAGUUUCAAAAUCGAUAUGCGCUGUCUCAUCGUUCGGUCUUGUCGCGAAACCGGCUAACACGUGACCGCGCGCGCGCGCGGUCACGACGGACGGAUGAAAAAAAACGGAAAUUGUUUCGCCGAUCGAUCGUCAAAUCGACGACAUUUUCCAUACGCGUGUUUAACACUCGUACGCUUCCGAUGAUUCAUCCACGAGAUGAGCGCGUGCGGCUCGUGCGGCGAACGGGAGGGGCUGUGUUAGCCAGGAACGCCCGAUUACACUCGAAUCAUUUAAAUAUAACGGUUUCGUGGUUGCACGAUCGACAUAACAAUACGAUUAUACUAUGUAUUAAUUUAAUCCAUUUUCAGUUAACUCAAUUGGCGAUACGAAUCAACGUGAUCUUGUCUGCAUGAUAUCUCAAUUACACAUGGUUGGUGGGAUGUGUGCUUUUCUUGGAAUAAAAUAAUUAACCCCGUUACGUUUGCUUGUCCUAAAGACCCAAUGACCCAAUGAUAUCUCGACCUUGUCCACCGUAUAAGGCAUAAGGUCUCGCGCCGCAAGGUCUCGCGCGUCGAAAGAGCAGGACUCGCGCGCGUAAGGAGGCUCGGAGCGGAGUUAUCACCGCGUGAUUGAUACGACGACGACGACGACGACUCACGUUCGAGACACGUCAUUUUCCCUUAGUAAACUCAUGAAUCAACAAUUCAAGUUUAAACUUGAAAUUGAGUUGAAUUGUUGGAUGCGAUAGUUUGCGAUUUAUCGCAACCAAGAAUUGUAGAAAAAAUAGAGAGACUUUUUAAUUGUUACAUGACACACGUAAAGGAAAGUGGACGAUAGGACUGCAACGACGCGACGCGGCGACGACGACGACGACGGCGACGGUCGGUGUUGGGUCAUGUCGUCGAUUCACCGGCAUCGUAUCUAUAUACAAUUGAGACGUACGGUGUCACCGUUGCAAUGCGCAAUGCGCAAUGCAUUUUAAAAAUGCACGCGCAUAUAUGUAAACUUGAGAGCUACCCAUGACAAGAGAUAUAUCGAAAGUUUUAUUGCUAAAUAUUCAAUGAUUUACGCACAACAUCAGUUGUACAUACAUUGAUACAUAUAACGUGGCAUAAAAUUUUCACGUGACUGUAUAUUCUCCAACGAUAUAUACAGUCUUACGAGAUACGUCUCUGAUAACAGCUACUGUCGUACACUCGUGUGCCAUGCGAGAAAUAUAAAUUAUAUUCGUUGCUAAAUUAAUUGAGAAAUCAAUCAUUUGCCUUUCGUGAGCCUUAACGUCAUCCUUACGCAUCUAGACUUUAAUGGAAACGAGUAUAAUACGAAUACUGAUACGCAUGCUUGUCAGAGAGAGAGAGAGAGAGAGAGAGAGAGAGAGACGGACGCGAUCGUUGGAACAAAAAUGUGUAUCCCUUCGUUUUUGCAAUAUGACGACCGUCGCGUAGAUUAGUCAUCGUUAGCCUCUUCUUGCGUGUCUCACAUCGCUUAGACAUGAUCGCGUCAUGCGAGUGGAACGUUACGCCGAAAGAGACGUUUUUUCUCUUUCCAAAGAAUCUAUACUUAUCACAAUAAAUAAUCAUUUUGAGAUCAUUUAUAAUACUGAGAUUGGUAAAAAAGUCUCAACUACGGAUCGCGCUAAUUAACGCUUUCUCUUGACAAGCUUAAUAAUUUAAGCUAUCGACAAUGCUCGUGCAAGAAUAUUAAUUUCAAUUAUGUAUUUUAUAAUUCGUAUUUAGUCUAAUCUCUUUCGCGGUACGAAACAAAUGCGCGCUCGAGAGAGAGAGAGAGAGAGAGAGAGAGAGAGAGAGAGAGAGAGAGAGACGAUAAUCGCAUAAUCGCAUAAUAUGCCAUUGGUGACAAGAGAUAAAAACGUUGCAACAACGUACUCUUUACUGGGAAGCACUCUCUUGGAUAUAAUACGUUUGACCAUAUUUGGUCCGUUUUGCCAAUCUAUAUAGAUCGUUAUCUUGUGUUUGAUAUAGCGCUGUAGAGUCUUAACGUAUCAACUUGAAAUUUCGCACGACAUUGAAUUCUUGAAAUUCAAUCUUAUUUACGCGAUUAAGCUAUUUAAAGUAUGGUAAACAAACGAAUAUGCUCUCGCAUACGUUAUCAAGCAUUCGUGUUCUUGACUUCUUUCAGAGAGAGCUGUUGUGAGUGCAAUCAACGAAUUCGCGCGAAACGGUCAAGGAUUCGAAACGCGGUCACGGUAACUCAAUGAACCGUAUGCGUGUAGCCGAAAACGGCAGUAACGGUUUUCUUAUUUUGCCAACUGCUUUUUGUCUCGCAAAACUAGCACGCAAAUUUGCAUCGAUUCAAAGAUUUCAAGUCGAUGCAGUAACGUGUUCUCGAAAUGCGUAUAACGAAAAAGUAGGCCGGAUACUAGAACUUGCGACGGUGCGUAGAAAGGCGAAUGUUCCGGAAAGUGUUUUCCAAACUCUUUCCGGAACGCAGCUAUAAGUUUUAAUUUUAUUAUUUGAUCAAAGUAUUAAAAUUUUUUCAUUACCUGUUCGAAACGAAUCACUUACGUUCGUUUAUCACUUUUGUUCGAGCACGUUUCUGAAACGACUUUGAAACGAGAGAUUGUCUCGAAUGUACUCGAAUGUCCUCUGUAUGCGUAUGUAUUUACAAAUAAUUUUACGCGACUAUUUUAUUUCUCCCCCUAAAAAAAAAAAAAUUAACAAUCACUACGAAUACUACUAUACUUAUAAUAUCCAUUGCACUCUCGCAGAUACGAAAAAGUCGAUUGAUACAAUUUAAAUGGCAACGAAGAAGGUACGCACGGUCCAGAGAAAACGAGAAAACCUGCUCCCGUCGUGACACCUGUCUCCCCGUUAUACCCCGUAUAUACAGGCAUCCGAGCGGAAUGCAAAACGAUGAUGUAAGGCAGCGCGUACGAGUAUUUCAGUGUGCUGUCAGCAUCGCGAUUAUCGUUUUUCGAUUGACUGAGACUCGAGAGUAACUGUGACCGUAAUUAGACAUUAUUACGAUAAAUGUUUUUUUCUUCAUAAAUCUGCAAUAUAAAGAUUCGAAGGCCGCCCUAUCUAAGCUUUAUGGUGUUUGGCAGUCGUGGAGAAAUCGAUGAGAAACGCCUGCAGCGGCCACCACGCCCAAAGCGAGACAAGGCUAUACCCCAUGUAGAGAUUCAUGGAACAAUUCUAUGGCACUGUUACAAAAUUCCAAAAUCUCUACCAUUUAUAGUCUCACUUUGGCCCGUAACGUUUAUGCAAUGAAUUUCAUCUAAACCAAUAAUCUAUUACAAACUCUCGGAAGAACCCUGCUUAA